rnacentral:rRNA from 1 species
UACGUAGGGGGCAAGCGUUGUCCGGAUUUACUGGGCGUAAAGCGCGCGUAGGCGGAACGAUCAGUCCGGUCUGAAAGCCCCCGGCUCAACCGGGGAGGGUGGCUGGAAACUGUCGUUCUUGAGGGCGAGAGAGGAGACUGGAAUUCAUGGUGUAGCAGUGAAAUGCGUAGAGAUCAUGAGGAAGACCAGUGGCGAAGGCGGGUCUCUGGACAGUUCCUGACACUGAGGCACGAAGGCCAGGGGAGCAAACGGG